rnacentral:rRNA from 1 species
CUUAUACAUGCAAGUCGAACGGAAUCUAAGGAGCUUGCUCUGAACGAUUUAGUGGCGAACGGGUGAGUAUCACGUGAGCAACCUGCCCCAAAGACUGGGAUAACACCGGGAAACCGGUGCUAAUACCGGAUAUCUUCUCUCGGUCGCAUGGCCGGAAGAAGAAACGAAUUUUGCUUUGGGAGGGGCUCGCGGUCCAUCAGCUUGUUGGCGGGGUAACGGCCCACCAAGGCAUCGACGGAUAGCUGGUCUGAGAGGACGAUCAGCCACACUGGAACUGAGACACGGUCCAGACUCCUACGGGAGGCAGCAGUAGGGAAUCUUGCGCAAUGGGCGAAAGCCUGACGCAGCAACGCCGCGUGAGGGACGAAGGCUUUCUGAGUUGUAAACCUCUUUCGACAGGAACGAUUGUGACGGUACCUGUAGAAGAAGCACCGGCCAACUAUGUGCCAGCAGCCGCGGUGAUACAUAGGGUGCAAGCGUUAUUCGGAUUUAUUGGGCGUAAAGAGCUCGUAGGCGGUUCGAUAAGUCGGGUGUUAAAUCCCCAGGCUCAACCUGGGGCAGCCACCCGAAACUAUCGUGACUAGAGUUUGGGUAGGGGGAUCACGGGAAUUCCUGGUGUAGCGGUGGAAUGCGCAGAUAUCAGGAGGCACACCAGUA